ACGGGUGAGUAAUACAUCGGAACGUGUCGAGAAGAGGGGGAUAACCACCCGAAAGGGUGGCUAAUACCGCAUAAAUUCUGAGGAAGAAAGCUGGGGACCUAGGAAUAGGCCUAGCGCUUUUUGAGCGGCCGAUGUCGGAUUAGCUAGUUGGUGAGGUAAAGGCUCACCAAGGCGAAGAUCUGUAGCGGGUCUGAGAGGAUGAUCCGCCACACUGGGACUGAGACACGGCCCAG
rnacentral:rRNA from 1 species